AGAAAGAAAGAAAGAAAAACAUUCUGAAAUUUUCACUUGGAAUAGAGAUCUCGUCUGCGUCCUGCUGAGUUGCUUUAAAGAAAAGCACAGUGAAUGAGGCUGAAUCACAUUCCUCUCCAUUUUGUGGCUGAGGAUGUCUCAAGCAUAGUUGGUAUGGAGCAGCGUUUAUGCUGAGACAGACCAUGACACAUCAAGUAGUCUCCAAUUUGCCCUGAACACCUGCUGACCAGAACCCCAGUCACCUCUGUGGUGCUCAGCACAGCAGAUCAGCAGGCGGUUACACAAGAAAGCUGUUUUGGUGAGCUGCAAAUCUGCUGAAAGAACUGUUCUCACAGGAUUUCAGUCUAUGACAAAGGAAGCAUCAGCUAUUUAUGACUUAGUAAUGGUGGAGCCUCCAGGAGUGGAGAAACUCAGCAUUAAUAUGAGAAAAGGGAACUUUCUAUUCCAGCAGCUGGAUGGGCAGAUCCCAUCGUUUUCUCUCAAUUCUGACUCCCACGCUAAUUAAUACAAACCAGCACCCUACAGGAUCUCCAUAAAUCCCGACCUGAAUGGAUACUCUGCUGCACAGUAACAACCGAUUCAUUUCAAAUUAACCCUUCAGUCUCAGAGGAAAGAUGGACACAUAGCAAAAAACACACAAUCAUAGAAUCAUGGAAUUAUUUAAGCUGGAAAGAACACUUAAAAGUCAUCUGUCCAACUCCCCUGCAGUGAACAAGGAUACCUGCAGCUUGAUCAGGAGCUCAGAGCCCUGUUCAGCCAGACUGAAUUUCUCCAGGAAAUGGAUGAGACAACCUGUUCCAACACCUCACUACUCUUAUUGCAAAACUCCUUGUCCUGUCACAGCAGAGCCUGCUAAAGAGUCUAUUAUUUACUUUCAUAGCUCCCUUUAGAUAUUGAAAUAUACAUAACAGCAUUUAUCUCCAAAACAAUGAGUGGAUCUGAAACUACUAGUUAGGCACAACUUUCUAGCAAAAUUAAUAACCAAAUAAAUGAAAUAAAUUGUGAGAUUAAGUGGUAGAUUUUACGUCAGAUAUAUCUAAACCAAGACAAGUGUUAUGAAAUCAAGUUGGGAGGAAGUUUUGAUCUGCCUGAGGGGGAAAAAGGCACUACAGGGGGACCUGGAUAGACUGAACU